GACGAACGCUGGCGGCGUGCUUAACACAUGCAAGUCGAACGGAAAGGCCCUGCUUUUGUGGGGUGCUCGAGUGGCGAACGGGUGAGUAACACGUGAGUAACCUGCCCUUGACUUUGGGAUAACUUCAGGAAACUGGGGCUAAUACCGGAUAGGAGCUCCUGCUGCAUGGUGGGGGUUGGAAAGUUUCGGCGGUUGGGGAUGGACUCGCGGCUUAUCAGCUUGUUGGGGGGGUAGGGGCUUACCAAGGCUUUGACGGGUAGCCGGCCUGGGAGGGUGACCGGCCACAUUGGGACUGAGAUACGGACCAGACUCCUACGGGAGGCAGCAGUGGGGAAUAUUGCACAAUGGGCGGAAGCCUGAUGCAGCAACGCCGCGUGCGGGAUGACGGCCUUCGGGUUGUAAACCGCUUUCGCCUGUGACGAAGCGUGAGUGACGGUAAUGGGUAAAGAAGCACCGGCUAACUACGUG
rnacentral:rRNA from 1 species